rnacentral:lncRNA from 1 species
UGGCGACUGGUUGUUUGAGCGGCCUCGUAUGCUGGUAGGGGAGCGCGGCGGGCUUCCCCUGCUGCUUGGGGUUGCUCUUCCGCAGGCUUCCCGCCGCCGCCUGGAUGGCUCUGGUUCCUAUGAGGAACUCCAGUCGUAAACAAUGGUUAUGUUUAGAAGAAAGGAAAUGCAGGGCCUGCGCUGGAUCAUGGACAUGGAAGUGCUGCUUCGCCUAUCUAGGUCAUGUCUGGAGAUGGCAAGAUUUGUUCUGCUGUCCUCACCAGCCUCAGCCUUCAGGAGAGAAACUUGAAGCUUCAGUUUUUCCCUCCAUGCUGGUUUCCUCUGAAGAAUUUCUUCCUCAGUGCUUGGGUGGUGAGGCUCGAUGCUUACUGGGAAAGUCAUCUGUGGUUGCUGCAGCUGCUGAUCUUCAUUGCUGGGACACUUCAUGUACAGGAGGGAGUUUGGAUCAACCUGCAAGAACCAGCCCUUUCCAAAGACCGGAGCUGGGAAACACUAGAGAUGGAGCUGGGCUGCUCAGGCAGUCACGUACAGCCAGGGACCACCUUGCAUUCUUGCUGGUGACGACGUAG